GGUCCAGCUAGCGAGGAGGAAAGCUGUGAUGGGGUGCAGGAGUGGAGGAGAAACGUGGCAACUGCCGAAUAAACACACCAACCAGGGAAGACGGCCAAGGCUGGGCCCAGAAUAUCUGGAAUGGAACCCAUCUUCCUUUUGCAGCAGGAAGUGGAGUUGGAAGCUGAGUUGACCGUGGAAUUUCCGAGCUUGGAGGAUGUUCGUGGUUCCUAGAAGGUGAGCGCGGACGGUAUGCAAAGUUGUGAAUCCAGUGGUGACAGUGCGGAUGACCCUCUCAGUC
rnacentral:sRNA from 1 species